rnacentral:rRNA from 1 species
GGGCCCGCACAAGCGGUGGAGCAUGUGGUUUAAUUCGAUGAUACGCGAGGAACCUUACCAGGACUUAAAUGUAAGUUGCAUGAUUCAGAAAUGAAUCUUUCUUCGGACUACUUACAAGGUGUUGCAUGGUUGUCGUCAGCUCGUGCCGUGAGGUGUCAGGUUAAGUCCUAUAACGAGCGCAACCCCUAUCGUUAGUUGCCAUCAAGUAAAGUUGGGAACUCUAGCGAAACUGCCGGUGCAAACCGAGAGGAAGGUGGGGAUGACGUCAAAUCAUCACGGCCCUUACGUUCUGGGCUACACACGUGCUACAAUGGUCGGUACAGAAAGCAGCCACUAUGCGAAAUAGGAGCUAAUCUUUAAAAACCGAUCUCAGUUCGGAUCGCAGUCUGCAACUCGACUGCGUGAAGCUGGAAUCGCUAGUAAUCG